AUUGAACGCUGGCGGCAGGCUUAACACAUGCAAGUCGAGCGGGGUGAGGUGCUUCGGUACUGAUCCUAGCGGCGGACGGGUGAGUAAUGCUUAGGAGUCUGCCAUUUAGUGGGGGACAACAUUCCGAAAGGGAUGCUAAUACCGCAUACGUCCUACGGGAGAAAGCAGGGGAUCUUCGGACCUUGCGCUAAAUGAUGAGCCUAAGUCGGAUUAGCUAGUUGGUGGGGUAAAGGCCUACCAAGGCGACGAUCUGUAGCGGGUCUGAGAGGAUGAUCCGCCACACUGGGACUGAGACACGGCCCAGACUCCUACGGGAGGCAGCAGUGGGGAAUAUUGGGCAAUGGGCGGAAGCCUGAUCCAGCCAUGUCGCGUGUGUGAAGAAGGCCUUUUGGUUGUAAAGCACUUUAAGCGAGGAGGAGGCUACCUGGAUUAAUACUCUAGGAUAGUGGACGUUACUCGCAGAAUAAGCACCGGCUAACUCUGUGCCAGCCGCCGCCGUAA
rnacentral:rRNA from 1 species